rnacentral:rRNA from 1 species
UACAGAGGGUGCGAGCGUUAAUCGGAAUUACUGGGCGUAAAACGUGCGUAGACGGUUAUAUAAGUCGGGUGUGAAAGCCCCGGGCUCAACCUGGGAAUUGCAUUCGAGACUGCAUAGCUAGGGUGCGGAAGAGGGAAGCGGAAUUUCCGGUGUAGCGGUGAAAUGCGUAGAUAUCGGAAGGAACAUCAGUGGCGAAAGCGGCUUCCUGGUCCAGCACCGACGUUCAGGCACGAAAGCGUGGGGAGCAAACAGG